UACGGGGGGAGCAAGCGUUGUUCGGAAUUACUGGGCGUAAAGGGCGCGUAGGCGGCUUAUCAAGUCAGGCGUGAAAUUCCCGGGCUCAACCUGGGGGCUGCGCUUGAUACUGAUUGGCUUGAAUGCGGGAGAGGAUAGUGGAAUUCCCAGUGUAGAGGUGAAAUUCGUAGAUAUUGGGAAGAACACCGGUGGCGAAGGCGGCUAUCUGGCCCGUAAUUGACGCUGAGGCGCGAAAGCGUGGGGAGCAAACAGG
rnacentral:rRNA from 1 species